rnacentral:rRNA from 1 species
UGGGGGAUAUUGCACAAUGGGCGAAAGCCUGAUGCAGCGACGCCGCGUGGGGGAUGAAGGCCUUCGGGUUGUAAACUUCUUUUGCUCUGAACAAGGCAUGCUUUUGGGGUGUGUUGAGUGUAGGGGUUGAUUAGCGCCGGCUAACUACGUGCCAGCAGCCGCGGUAAUACGUAGGGCGCGAGCGUUGCCCGGAAUUAUUGGGCGUAAAGGGCUUGUAGGUGGCUGGUCGCGUCUGUCGUGAAAGCUCAUGGCUUAACUGUGGGUUUGCGGUGGGUACGGGCUGGCGUGAGUGCAGUAGGGGAGGGGGGAAUUCCUGGUGUAGCGGUGGAAUGCGCAGAUAUCAGGGGGAAUACCGGUGGCGAAGGCGGGGCUCUGGGCUGUUACUGACGCUGGGGGGCGAAAGCGUGGGGAGCGAACAGG